rnacentral:lncRNA from 1 species
GGACGAUGUGAGGAUGAUGAUUUUUGUGUGUGUGUUUCCAGAGAAGAGAGGAAGAGUUGAAGAGAGAGCUAGAGAGAGAGACUUAUCAGAAAAAAAAUAAAAGAAAAGGGGAGAGGGAGACUCAUGGGUCCAAAGGGAAAAAAGAAGAAAGGAGGCCGGGUAGGCAUUAAGUAUUAGAAAUAUAUUUCUCAUUGAUUAAAAUGAUUUACAUUGGAGGUAUUUAUACACAGUAGCUAAUAAAGUUUAGUUAUUAACUAAUGUUACUAAUUAAACUUAAUCUAUGAUUAGUUACAAAUCAGUUACAAUAAGAAAACUUAAAAGCUAAGUAAGUGCUGACUGUGUUCCAACCUUGGACUCUAGCUGGCACUGUUGAGUUGUCUGAGGAUAAUGUGUGUCUUUACACCCCUUCAAGCUGAACGGAGGAGAGCCAAGUGAAAGCUUGGACCGAAGAAACUGAAAACGAGCUUUGGACAGAGACUUAGUGUGAAUAUCUGCAAUUUGAUUGUGGCUGGGAACAAACUGAACUCUGAGUAGAAAAGCCAAAACCAGUUCUCGAAUAUAAUGGUAGUCAAUCUCAACAUGUUUCGUUCGAGCAUGGAAAACUGGAUUUGAAGCAAGGGAAAUUGUAGACAGAUUAUCAUACCAAAGAGUUGGAACCUGGGAUAAGGGAAAGCCAAUGUCCUUGAAAAUUUUGCAGAUCCAAGUGAUCUUAGCAGAGGUGUGAGCCAAAGAACGAUAUUCAGCUUCAGUGGAGGAACGUGCAACAAUAUGUUGUUUCUUUGCACUCCAACUGAUGAGAUUGGUGCCAAGAUAAACACAGUAACCACUUGUAGAGCGGCGAUAAAAAAAACAUCCUGCCCAGUCAGCAUCCGAGAAGGCAGUGAGAGUGAGGGUACUAUUUUUAAACCAAAUUCCAUCAUCAACAGUGCCUUUAAGAAAGCGUAAUACAUGCUUAACAAACUGAUAAUGUGUGUCUCGAGGACAGUGGAGAAACUGACAGAGUUGAUUGACAGCAAAAGAACGAUCAUGUCGAGUCCAAGUCAAAUAUUGCAAUGCCUCAACUAUGGAUCGAUAUUCCUGUGGAUUAGAGAGAAGUGUACCAUUGUGAUCUAACUUCUGAGUACCGAGAAAGGUAGUGCAUGGUUUACUGCCAUCCAUAUGCGUCUUGAGAAGAAGAUCCACGACAUAUUUGUGUUGAGAGAGAAAAAUGCCUUCUGAGUUUCUGUGAAUCUCCAAACCCAAGAAGUAAUGUAAAGGGCCUAAAUCUUUGACUGGAAAUAGUUGACUGAGUUUGUGAAUAAAGGCUGUACAGACUUGAGCAUUUGGUUCAGUAACGAGUAUAUCAUCAACAUAUACUAGGACAAUGACAAGAGUUGGCUCAAACGCAACAAACAAAGAACAAUCAGAUUGAGAGUUAUGAAAUCCCAGAGAAAUCAAGGCUUGAACAGUUUAUCAUACCAUGCCCUUGGGGCUUGCUUGAGGCCAUACAAGGACUUGAUGAGUUUGCAGACAUGGGAUGGCUUUGAUGGAUCAAUAAAACCAGGGGGUUGUUGCAUAAAGACCUCCUCUUUAAGUGUGCCAUGUAAGAAUGCGUUGCUAACGUCCAAUUGGUUCAAAAACCAAUCAAAUUGUACUGCUAAGGUCAAGAGAAUUCUGAUUGUCACAGGUUUUGCAACGGGACUAAAAGUCUCUUGAAAAUCAAUACCUUCUUGUUGAUGGAAGCCUUUGGCUACUAAGCCGGCUUUGUAUCUGUCCACACUACCAUCGGGUUUCCGUUUGAUGUGAAAAACCCAUUUACACCCGACAAGAUUUUGAUCUGGUGUAGAAGGAACAAGAGACCAGGCUUCUGUAGAUUGCAGUGCUUGAAACUCCUCAACCAUUGCUUUCAUCCAGUGAUCAUACUUAGAAGCUUGUAAGAAGGUUGUAGGAACAAAGUUCAAUGUAUCAAUAGGGUGUUUAGUAGCAUCCAAAGCUUUAGGUUUAAAGAUUCCAGCCUUGGACCUAGUAGUCAUGGAAUGAGUAUUGGUGGAAGGGAGAGGUGAAUGGGGGAUUAGAGAGGUAGGUGGGAUAAAAGAAUUGGGCAAUGGUGAAGUAGAGUGUAGGGUAGAAUCUGACACUGUGGGAAUGGAGGAAGAGGAAGUAGGGGAAGAGGAAGAUGGUGAUGCAGGUGAGGACAAGGGAGAAGUGCAAGGGAUGGUAAAUGGAAGUGUGAAUGGUGGAUACUAAGGGUGCAGACUAGGUUGCAACUGUGAAUUGGACUCUGUGAGCUCAUGUGGUUUAUGAAAAGGGAAAUUAGAUUCAUUGAAAAGCACAUGGCGAGAGAUGUAGAGUCUGGAUGUAAGAGGAUCUAGGCAACGAUAGCCCUUGUGUUGCAAACUGUAACCAAGAAAAACACAGUGAAUGCUUUUCCCAUCAAACUUGGAAGCAGAAUAUGGUUUAAGCCAGGGAUAACAACUACACCCAAAAACCUUAAGCUUUGAAUAAUCUGGAGGUUUGUGAAAAAGUAAUUCCCAUGGAGAUUUGUCAAGACCAGAGAUUGGAAGCCUGUUUAUCAGAUACAAGGUAGUAGAGAAUGCCUCAAACCAAAAUGAAUGUGGAACCUUUGAUGCAGUGAUAAGAGUCUGAGCAGUUUUUGUGAGGUGCCGAUGUUUCCGUUCAACACAACUGUUCUGUUCCGGUGUGUGAGGACAAGAAUAUUGAUGCAAAAUACCAUGCUGUAGAAGAAAGGAAUUAAAAUUUGAACUUGUGAAUUCACCUCCUGAAUCAGAGCAGAGAACUUUGAUUUUAUUGCCAACCAAGUUUUCUACAUAACACUUGAAAUCCACAAAAACUGAAUACACCUCAGAUUUGAGCUUCAAUGGGAACAUCCAACUAUAUUUUGUGAAUUCAUCAACAAAUAACACGUAGUACUUAUAACCACUGAGAGACAAUGUAAGGGCAGGUCCCCAAACAUCACAAUGAACAAGUGCUAAGGGCACAAAUACAGAGCUAAUACUUGCAGUGAAGGGCAAUUUGUGGUUUUUGCCAAUUGCACAAUCUGAACAGAAGAAAGAAGUAAACUUUUUAUCACUGUAGACUAUAGUACUACUAUUUAAAGUCUUCCGAAAAAUAGCAGAAGAUGGAUGACCGAGCCGAUUAUGCCAAAUUUGUAAAUGAGCUUUGCUACUGACAAGAGCCGAGGGAGAAGUGAAUGCUGGAGGAAUGCCUUGAAAAGGAUAAAAACCAUCUUUAACUGGUCCUCGGAAAAGCAUCCUCCCCGAAAUACGAUCCUUGAUUGUAGAGCCAUCAGAAUCAAAGGUUAAUUUGCAGUGAUUGUCUCAUAAGAAUUGAUACGCAGAAAGAAGGUUAUGCUUCAUUGCAGGAACAUGUAAAACAUUAUUCAGACGAAAAGUGGCAGUAGGAGUAGUAAAAAAGGUUGUACCAGUAUGGUGGAUGGGCAUACCUUGACCAUCACCAAUAUAAACCUUGUCCUGACCAUUGUAAGGAGUGGGAGAAUGAAUGGCAGAGAUGUCAUUGGUUAUGUGAGACGUGGCACCAGAGUCCAUAAGCCAAGUAGGAGAAGAGGAUUUGAUGGUGGUGUGAGCACACAUAGCUGCCAAUUUUGCAGGAGGAAUUUUUCCAACAAAGGCAUGAUUCAUCCGUUCAAAACAAUCCAAUGCUUCAUGAUCUGGAGAAUGACAGAUUUGGCAAGGAUCUCGGUGACUAGUGGUGGUUCCAGAAAGACGAGUGUAACUUCCAGAGUUGCGAUUGAAAUUGCCUCUAGAAUUUCCCCGAUCGUUAUUGCCUCGAUAGUUAUUGUUUCCUCGAUAGAUAUUAACCCUGUAAGUGCCUUUGCCACGAUUGAAUUGCCUGGGAGUAGAGAUGUACAAGUUCUAUCCAGGAGGACCCUGGGGUGUGGGAAGAAGAGGCGCUUGAGAGUGUUGAUACUGAGCCGCAUAAGCUUGAAAGGGUUCAGAUACUGACGAAGCUACAAUCUUCUUCUUACAAUUCAUGAACAAUUCUUUAUUGAUCAGCAGACCAUGUAGUUCGUCCAAUGAAGUAGAGGAAAUGCGUAGCAUAAUGGAGUCAACAAAAGACUCAUAAUCCUCAGAGAGACCAUUAAGAGUAACUGCAAUCAGAUCACUUUCAGAAAUCGGAGCACCGGCAGCCAUGAGUGCAUCAGAAAUGGUUUUGAUUAGCUGAAUAUAGUUAGAAAUUGUGAGAUUUCCUUUCUGAAUAGUGUGCAGGCGAGAUCGAAGCUGGUGGAUAUGAGCAGCAGAUACGCCGCCAAAGCGUUGCUCAAGAUUCAACCAUAACUCUCGAGACGAUGUAACACCAACAGUAAACGGAAUGAGAUUUUCCGAAAGGGUGGAGUUAAGCAAGAUAAGGAUAUUCUGAUCCUUUUCAUACCAAAAAUCAAAAGCCGGAUUUGGAGUGCUAGUGGUGUUGCCAGAUGCAUCAAGUAAAAAUGGCGAAAGACAAACAUUCGAGCCAUCAAGAAUCCCUGUAAGCUUGUAACGACGAAAAAUUGGAGCAAACAAUGCUUUCCAAACAAGAUAAUUGUCAUGCUUCAGCUUGGUAGGAACCAUACAACUGAUGUGUUGAAUUGAAAUCAAAGAAAUUGAGGGAGAAGACGGAACCGCUGUGAAAUUAGGGUUCGUCGGGGACGAAUUUGGGGCAAGAACAUUAGGAUUCAUCGGAGAGGAACUCGACGAUGUCAUCGUAAGCGAGAAAGAUAGUAGAAGAUAAGAGAAGAUCGAUCAAGAUCCACAAGAAAUUGAAGAUGGAAGAUCAAAGAUCGAAGAAAUCUCGAAGAAAUCAGAGAUCACAGGGAGCGACGGAGAAGAGGAUCGAAGAAAGACGGUUAAGCAGAAAAGGGGAUGAUACCAUAUUAGAAAUAUAUUUCUCAUUGAUUAAAAUGACUUACAUUGGAGGUAUUUAUACACAGCAGCUAAUAAAGUUUAGUUAUUAACUAAUGUAACUAAUUAAACUUAAUCUAUGAUUAGUUACAAAUCAGUUACAAUAAGAAAACUUAAAAGCUAAGUAAUUGCUGACUGUGUUCCAGCCUUGGACUCUAGCUGGCACUGUUGAGUUGUCUGAGGAUAAUGUGUGUCUUUAUUAAGACCCAAAAAUAAUUUUAAAAGUAAGAUAAUCUUAAACUUAGUGAAAAUACAAUGUAAAUUAGGGGUGGGUGUAACAUUAUCUUUCAUCUCCACCGCCCAUCUUUUCUUCCCUUUCAUUUGGGCCACACGUGGCUUUC